ACCAACCAAAAGCCGCAUGCGUGUGACCAGGCGAUCAAGUCUGCAAUUCCCAGGCCUUGUGCACUGCAUUACAAACCACGGCGCAAACGGAUCUGGCAAAAACCGGCAGAUUCCUGUUUACUUGGAUGCGUGGGCGUGAGACGGCAUGAGGCAGGAGGCUGUUUCCGCGGCAGCCUCGCCUCGCUUCAGUCCUCGGGACGUACAGAAUGAUGACACACAAUUUGGAAGGGAGCGUGUCAUCGAGGGACUCUGAAUCUACCUCCAUAGGACCCAGCACACAUAUUGAGGGAGUAAAUGAUCACCCACCUCCACGUGAGACCAUUCCAGACCAAUAUUCCAAAUAAAACGAAUAGACGAUUGGUUCCUCCAGACUGCAGAGGAAGCUGUCAUCCAGGCGGGUAUUGAGGAUACCACCGCUGGAAUUUUUACCGUCCAGUACAGCGACUCAAGUGAGAGAGAAGACAUUGGGAUUGUCCUCGAAGCAGUGCUACAGAGGCUACCAAGCGUGGCAUUGGCGACUGCCAUGCUAUUUGGUCCUAUUUCUAACUUGAACCUGGACUGGCCUCAUGAACUGAGGUAGACCUUUGAGGUGAUACAAAAACUUAUCAUGGAGUUGGAAGACAGCACACUUUCUAAGAGGGCACGGGCUAUAGACCUCAAAGUUGGAUUUUAUUUUUAUUCGUGAUUAUAUGCUUUUUUUCCGUUUUUAAAGUUUUCAUGUGAAAUUUUGCAGUUCGUGGUGUUUGUGAAUUUCAGAAGUGUGCUGAAAGGUCACUGUAGAAGGGGGAGUAGAUCUGUAAUAUAAAGAAAACAAGGAAUAGUGGGUGAGGUAGGUAGCUUCUACAACAGGGGUGUCAAACUGCAGUCCUGGGGGGCUGGAGCCCUGUGUAGCUCAGUUCUUUCCCUGUUCCACCACAAAUGAUUCAUCUCAAGAGCUGUGCGGUAAUUAGCAUAAGGAGGAGAAUCAGGUGUGUUAAAUGAGGGGAAACCCAAAAAUGUACAGUGCUCCAGCCCCCCAGGACUGGAGUCCUUUGUAUUACAUAUCUAUUGCAGGUACUGUGUUCACAUUAAUUACAAUUUUUUUUGUGUGUUAGACGCCUACCCCAUGCUUCUCAUUCUUUUCAUUAAUUUUAUUUAGAUUGAUUGAGCCACCUGCAAUGUUUUUGAACUCUUUUAUGCUUACAAAUAAUUGUAAUUUUUUAUACACCACUGAUACAGGGGGAAUGAAGCAAUUUGUGUUGUACUUUUGAGAUUCCUGAAAAUAAAAAGGUUGAAGGGUCUUUGUUAGAUAAUUUUAUAAUCUGGUAUGUGUGUGUCUGUAUUAUGUGUGAGCAUUUGUAGGCAUUUAAGCAAUUUUGUGUUUAUCAAUUUUAGAUCAGU